UACAGAGGUCUCAAGCGUUGUUCGGAUUCAUUGGGCGUAAAGGGUGUGUAGGUGGCGCCGUAAGUCGGGUGUGAAAUUUCGAGGCUUAACUUCGAAACUGCAUUCGAUACUGCCGUGCUUGAGGACUGGAGAGGAGACUGGAAUUUACGGUGUAGCGGUGAAAUGCGUAGAUAUCGUAAGGAAGACCAGUGGCGAAGGCGGGUCUCUGGACAGUAACUGACGCUGAGGAGCGAAAGCGUGGGGAGCGAACAGG
rnacentral:rRNA from 1 species